AGUGAACGCUGGCGGUAGGCCUAACACAUGCAAGUCGAACGGCAGCACAGUAAGAGCUUGCUCUUACGGGUGGCGAGUGGCGGACGGGUGAGGAAUACAUCGGAAUCUACUUUUUCGUGGGGGAUAACGUAGGGAAACUUACGCUAAUACCGCAUACGACCUACGGGUGAAAGCAUGGGAUCUUCGGACCUUGCGCGAUUGAAUGAGCCGAUGUCGGAGUAGCUAGUUGGCGGGGUAAAGGCCCACCAAGGCGACGAUCCGUAGCUGGUCUGAGAGGAUGAUCGGCCACACUGGAACUGAGACACGGUCCAGACUCCUACGGGAGGCAGCAGUGGGGAAUAUUGGACAAGGGGCGCAAGCCUGAUCCAGCCAUACCGCGUGGGUGAAGAAGGCCUUCGGGUUGUAAAGCCCUUUUGUUGGGAAAGAAAAGCAGCAGGUUAAUACCCCGCUGUUCUGACGGUACCCAAAGAAUAAGCACCGGCUAACUUCGUG
rnacentral:rRNA from 1 species